rnacentral:rRNA from 1 species
UAGGGAAUCUUCCGCAAUGGACGAAAGUCUGACGGAGCAACGCCGCGUGAGUGAAGAAGGAUUUCGGUUCGUAAAACUCUGUUGUUAGGGAAGAAAAAAUGUAUAGUAACUAUAUACAAAAGAGACGGUACCUAACCAGAAAGCCACGGCUGACUACGUGCCAGCAGCCGCGGUAAUACGUAGGUGGCAAGCGUUGUCCGGAAUUAUUGGGCGUAAAGCGCGCGCAGGUGGUUUAGAAAGUCUGAUGUGAAAGCCCACGGCUCAACCGUGGAGGGUCAUUGGAAACUAAUAAACUUGAGUGCAGGAGAGAAAAGUGGAAUUCCUAGUGUAGCGGUGAAAUGCGUAGAGAUUAGGAGGAACACCGGUGGCGAAAGCGGCUUUUUGGCCUGCGACUGACACUGAGGCGCGAAAGCGUGGGGAGCAAACAGG